rnacentral:rRNA from 1 species
UGUAACAAGGUCUCCGUAGGUGAACCUGCGGAGGGAUCAUUAC